GUACAUAUGAUGUGAGCUUAUAUGUAUGAGUUAUCCAGUGAAACUGUAAACGCUUUCUGAUGUA